GGAUGUGAGGGCGGUCUGGUUGCGACACCUGUCACCCCACUGAUGGCGAGGGUUGAUUCGGCUGAUCUGGCUGGCUAGGCGGGUGUCACUUCCCUCCCUCACCGCUCCAUGUGUGUCCCUCCCGAAGCUGCGCGCUCGGUCGAAGAGGACGACCAUCCCUGAUAGAGGAGGAGGACCGGUCUUCAGUCAAGGGUAUAAGGAGUAGCUGCCUCCCCUGCUAGAAUCUCCAAACAAGCUCUCAAAUUCC
rnacentral:lncRNA from 1 species